rnacentral:rRNA from 1 species
UACGUAGGCAGCAAGCGUUGUUCGGAGUUACUGGGCGUAAAGAGUGUGUAGGCGGUGGAAUAAGUGAGAUGUGAAAGACCAGGGCUUAACCUUGGGAUGUCAUUUCAGACUGUUUCGCUAGAGGUUAGUAGAGGAAGGUGGAAUUUCCGGUGUAGCGGUGAAAUGCGUAGAUAUCGGGAAGAACAUCAGUGGCGAAGGCGACCUUCUGGGCUAAUACUGACACUGAGGCGCGAAAGCAUGGGGAGCAAACAGG